GCAUAUCAUUAGCGGAGGAAAAGAAACUAACUAAGGAUUCCCCUAGUAACUGCGAAGUUGAAAGCGGGAAAAGCUCAAAUUUAAAAUCUGGCAGUUUUACUGUCCGAGUUGUAAUCUGGAGAAGCAUUUUCUGUGUCGGACCGUGUACAAGUCUCUUGGAACAGAGCGUCAUAGAGGGUGAGAAUCCCGUCCAUGACACGGACUACCGAUGCUUUGUGAUAUGCUCUCGAAGAGUCGAGUUGUUUGGGAAUGCAGCUCAAAAUGGGUGGUAAAUUCCAUCUAAAGCUAAAUAUUGGCGAGAGACCGAUAGCGAACAAGUACCGUGAGGGAAAGAUGAAAAGCACUUUGGAAAGAGAGUUAAACAGUACGUGAAAUUGUUGAAAGGGAAACGCUUGAAGUCAGUCGCGUUGUCUGAGACUCAGCCUUGCUUGCAUGGUGUACUUCUCAGUUAACGGGUCAACAUCAAUUUUGGUUGGUGGAUAAAGGUAUUGGAAAUGUGGCACCUUCGGGUGUGUUAUAGUCCUUUGCUGCAUACACUGACUGGGAUUGAGGAACGCAGCACGCCAUUAUGGCCGGGGGUUCGCCUCACGUAACGUGCUUAGGAUGUUGGCAUAAUGGCUUUAAGCGACCCGUCUUGAAACACGGACCAAGGAGUCUAACAUGCUUGCGAGUGUUAGGGUGGAAAACCCUUGCGCGUAAUUAACGUGAAAGUUGGGACCCUUCGCGGGGGCACCGACGCCCGGCCCUGAAGUUUACUGACGGUGCUGCGGUAGAGCACGUAUGUUGGGACCCGAAAAGAUGGUGAACUAUGCCUGAAUAGGGUGAAGCCCAAGGGAAACUUUGGUGGGAGGCUCGUAGCGGAUUCUGACGUGCAAAUCGAUCGUCAAAUUUGGGUAUAGGGGGCGAAAGACUAAUCGAACCAUCUAGUAGCUGGUUCUGCGA
rnacentral:rRNA from 1 species